GACGAACGCUGGCGGCGCGCCUAACACAUGCAAGUCGAACGAGCGAGAGAGAGCUUGCUUCCUUAAUCGAGUGGCGAACGGGUGAGUAACGCGUGAGGAACCUGCCUCAAAGAGGGGGACAACAGUUGGAAACGACUGCUAAUACCGCAUAAGCCCACAGCUCGGCAUCGAGCAGAGGGAAAAGGAGUGAUCCGCUUUGAGAUGGCCUCGCGUCCGAUUAGCUGGUUGGUGAGGUAACGGCCCACCAAGGCGACGAUCGGUAGCCGGACUGAGAGGUUGAACGGCCACAUUGGGACUGAGACACGGCCCAGACUCCUACGGGAGGCAGCAGUGGGGAAUAUUGCACAAUGGGGGAAACCCUGAUGCAGCGACGCCGCGUGGAGGAAGAAGGUCUUCGGAUUGUAAACUCCUGUUGUUGAGGAAGAUAAUGACGGUACUCAACAAGGAAGUGACGGCUAACUACGUGCCAGCAGCCGCGGUAAAACGUAGGUCACAAGCGUUGUCCGGAAUUACUGGGUGUAAAGGGAGCGCAGGCGGGAAAGCAAGUUGGAAGUGAAAUCCAUGGGCUCAACCCAUGAACUGCUUUCAAAACUGUUUUUCUUGAGUAGUGCAGAGGUAGGCGGAAUUCCCGGUGUAGCGGUGGAAUGCGUAGAUAUCGGGAGGAACACCAGUGGCGAAGGCGGCCUACUGGGCACCAACUGACGCUGAGGCUCGAAAGUGUGGGUAGCAAACAGG
rnacentral:rRNA from 1 species